CGUAUAUAAUAAAAUUAAACUGAAUACAAUUGCAGGCAACACGAUUUGCAUUAUUUAUUAUAAAAAUAAGAGUCAAUGUAUGAAAUGGUAUUUGUUAGUCUAUACUUUCCUUCAUACUAAAAUGCACGAAAUACGUUUAAACUUAUGUUUAAUCUUGCUGUUACAUUUGGCUUAUUCUAGUGUAGUUUGUGAUUAUCUUUGGCCUUAUGCACCUGAACAUCGCCUUCCUUCGAAAAUAGGAUGCUAUGCAAGCGAGGACCAAAGUAUUUUACCAGGCCAUCCUUUCACUCUGACAUGCGUCUGCAAAAAAGGUUAUAUUAGGAAAAAUAAGGAUUGCAUCCCGGACCCUAAAACUUACGCUUCGAUUUAGUUUCAAAUAAGGAUUUUUUUGAUUAUGUAACUGUAUGUCUUAUUUACAUUUUUAAUAAAGAUAUUGAUUUUUUAAA